UUUUUGAUUUUUUCCCCCCAUAGAAAUUAUUAGUAGAAGAUUUUCGCGAGCUGCUGUCCACUGUUAAAAAGAUGGGACUCUUGAAGCCAAACCAAUUCUUCUUUUUCCUGACCUUACUGCAUAUUUUACUGCUGGAUGCUGCUGGCUGGUUUGUGUUGUGGUAUUUUGGGAUAUCUAUGAACUCUUUUCUUAUUGCCACAGUGUUGCUGACCUUUGCUCAGUCUCAAGCAGGCUGGCUACAACAUGAUUUGGGACAUCUUUCAGUCUUCAGUGAGCCAAAAUGGAACCAUCUUUUUCAGGAAUUUGUGAUGUGCCAUUUAAAGGUAAGUAA